CGUAUAUAAGAGCACGGAAGGCUUUUCUCUGCCUCUUCCUCUUCACGCCGAUUGCGGAGAAGAGACUACGACCCAAAAGAAGUUCGGUUCAACUUGAAGCUACACCUAUUCCCCAGACCAUGGGUACCCAUUCAAACUACAGGUAUUCCACACUGAAGAUGGAAAGGGAGACAAUGGACAUGACUGGAGAACAUGGAGGUUACCCUCAUGGCUGACCCUGAGUCUGGAGUGGAUAAAGCAAUCUAUUGUAAAGGCAUUGGUAAGCUUGACUGAUCCUCCAUCUGAUGUUGGUUGCUGCCUGUCUGCUCAUGCCUCCCUGGCUUGUACAGGUCCAGCAGCAUGAUGGAAGAGGACCUGUCCAGACAGUCAUGGAGCUGUAUUGCAGGGGGUUCACCACUAUGAAGUGUCUUCUUGUGAUCACUUUUACUGAAGCAGUUGUGCAAGGAUUAUGUAGCAGUGAAAUGUUCAAAAUGGAUGGACUUGAAUCUGUUUGAAUGAAAUAAAAUGUCUUGAAUCAAA